AUUGAACGCUGGCGGCAUGCCUUACACAUGCAAGUCGAACGGCAGCACGGGAGCAAUCCUGGUGGCGAGUGGCGAACGGGUGGGUAAAGUAUCGGAACGUGCCCAGUCGUGGGGGAUAACGUAGCGAAAGUUACGCUAAUACCGCAUACGAUCUAUGGAUGAAAGCGGGGGAUCGCAAGACCUCGCGCGAUUGGAGCGGCCGAUAUCAGAUUAGGUAGUUGGUGGGGUAAAGGGACACAAAGCCGACGAUCUGUAGCUGGUCUGAGAGGACGACCAGGUAAAGUGGGAAGGGGACACGGCCCAGGCUCCUACGGGAGGCAGCAGUGGGGAAUUUUGGACAAUGGGGGAAAGCCUGAUCCAGCCGUGCCGCGUGCAGGAUGAAGGCCUUCGGGUUGUAAACUGCUUUUGUACGGAACGAAAAGGUUUGGGCUAAUAGGCUGAGCUCAUGACGGUACCGUAAGAAUAAGCACCGGCUAACUACGUGCCAGCCGCCGCCGUAAGAC
rnacentral:rRNA from 1 species